rnacentral:rRNA from 1 species
NNNNNNNNNNNNNNNNNNNNNNNNNNNNNNNNNNNNNNNNNNNNNNNNNNNNNNNNNGGCAGCCUGCGAAAAAGCGUCGGGGAGCUGGCAAAAGCUUUUUGAUCCGGCGAUGUCCGAAUGGGAAACCCGACUAAGUUAACUCAGCGUGUAAUCGUGCAGUGAAAUAAUAGCUGCUGGAAGCGAAAACGCGGUGAACUGAAAUAUCUAAGUACGUAGGAAAAGAAAUCAAAAAACCGAGAUUUCCUGAGUAGCGACGAAGCGAACGGGGACUAGCCAAAAGUCCGAUUGAGCUUUAACAAAACGAUCUGGGAAGAUCGGCCAUAGAAGGUGAAGCCUGUAAUGUGAAAAGGGGUCAGUCGAUGAAAUUGGGAGUAGGGGCGGGGCCGUGGAAACCCGUAGUUGAACAUGGGGGGACCAUCCUCCCAAAGGCUAAAUUUUACCUUACCUGACCCCGACGAACCGGAUAGGUGGAAACAGUUAACCCUGGUUUGAGGGAAAGGGCGGGAAAAGGAAACCUGGGUGGAGGAGUGAAAAUAGACCUGAAACCGUGUGCGUACAGCAGUCGGGACCCGCAAGGGUUGGACGGCGUACCUUUUUUGUAUAAAUGGGUCAGGAGCCGACUAACUGUUUUGGUGGCAAGUCUACCGGUAUAGGGAGGCCGAAGGGAAACCGAGUCCCUGAAUAGGGCCGCAUAGUCCGCAGAGUAGACCCCGAAAACCCGGGUGAUCUAAGUCAUGCCCAGGGUGAAGGUUGAGUAACAAUCAAACUGGAGGCCCGAACCCACUCGGCUACCGUUGCAAAAAGGUAGGCGGAUGAGGUGUGAUUAGGAGUGAAAAGCUAAUCGAACCCGGAGAUAGCCUGGUUCUUCCUCGAAAGCUAUUUUAGGUAGCGCCUCGCGUGAAAUCUUCUUCGACAGCACUAGAGCAACUGUUAGGGCUUAGGGGGUCAAUAUGCGCUUACAAACCAAUGGCAAAACUUCCCGGAAUAAACCAAGACAGUGCGCGGGAGUCACAACGGAAGGGUGCUACGGCCCAGUCGUGAAAAGUGAAAAGGGAAACAACCCCAGACCCACAGCUUUUAAGGUCCAAAUUACCGGCUUAUGGGGAAACGAUGUGGAAAGGCACAGACAAGCCAGGAGGUUUGGCUUUAGAAGCAGCCACCCUUUAAGAAAGCGUAAAUAGCUUCACUGGUCGAGUCGGUCCUGCGCGGAAGAUUUAACGGUGGCUAAGCGGGUAAAACCGAAGCCUUGGGGGGUGCAUACUUCGCGUAUGCGCGGGUAGAGGAAGCGUUACCCGUAAAGCGUUGAAGGUGGAUCGAGAACGUCUGCCUGGAGGUUAUCGGAGUGCGAAUGCUGACAAUUAAGUUAACGAUAAUGCGGGGUGAAAAGCCCGCACGCCCACGAAAGCCAGCAAGGUUUCCCCUUGCGCAACGGUUUAAUCGCGCAGGGUGAGUCGGCCCCUAAGGCGAGGCAGAAAAUGCCGUAGUCGAUGGGAAGCUGGUUAAAUAUUCGCAGCACCUCGCGUAUAGUGCGAUGGAGGGACGGAGAAGGUUAAGUUGGCCGGGCGGUUGGUUGUCCCGGGUGAGAUGGUUGAGGCGGUUCCCUUUGGCAAAUCCGGGGGAGGGCAACGGGUUGAGACCGCCAAGGACGAGUCCUUAAUUGGACAAAGCAACUGAUAUCACUUUCCAGGAAAAGCUCCUAAAGCUUCAGCUUAAACGCAGACCGUACCGUAAUCCGACCACAGGGUGGGCAGGAUGAGAAUUCUCCAGGCGCUUUGAGAGAAUUGGGGUGAAGGAACUAGGCAAAAUUUAGCAACCGUAACUUUCGGGAGGAAAGGGUGCGCUCCAUGGUAUAGGCUGGGAGGGGGGCCGGCAGGUGGGACCAGGCCCGCUGCGACUGUUUUUUAUCAAACACAGCAACUCUUGCAAACACGAAAGUGGACGUAUGGGUGUUGACGCCUGCCGGUGCUGGAAGGUUAGUGAUAGGGGUUCAGCGCAAGCGAAGCUUCUUGAUACGAAGGCCCCAGUUAAACGCGGCGUAACUAUAACGGUCUAAAGGUAGCGAAAUUCCUUGUUGUCGGGUAAGUUCCGAACCUGCAAACGGAAUGGCGUAACGACAGCGGCGCUGUCUCCACCCCAAGACUCAGUGAAAUUGAAAUCGCUGUGAAAGAAUGCAGCGUUCCCGCGGCAAGACGGAAAGACCCCGUGAACCUUUACUAAUAGGCUUUACAUUGAACGUUUGAGUUUCGUCUUGUGUAGGUAUAGGUUGGGAAGCCUUUGAAGCGAUUGGCGGCUAAGCCUGUCGUGGGAAGGCAAACCUUGGAAAAUACCAACCCUGGAUGUGCUGACGUUUCUAAACUGGGCCGUAAUCCCGGGUCGGGGACCAUGUAUGGUGGGUAAGUUUGUUUGACUGGGGCGGUUCUCCUCCUAAAGAGUAACGGAGGAGCACGAAAGGUAACGGCUUGCAGCGCGGUCGGACCAUACGCGCCACUGUGUGCAAAAGGCCAAUAGCGUGCUUUGACUGCAAGAAUCGACGGGUCAAGCAGGUACGAAAGUAGGUCUUGAGUGAUUCCGGUGGUUCUUGUAAAUGGAAGGGCCAUGCUCAAACGGAUAAAGGUACUCCGGGGAUUAACAGGCUGAUACCGCCCAAAAGAGUUUUCAUAUCGACGGCGGGGGUUAUGGGCACCUCGGAUGUCGGCUUCAAUCACAUCCUGGGGCUGUAGUCCGGUCCAAGGGUAAUGGCUGUUCGCACAUUUUAAAGUGGUACGCGAGCUGGGUUCAGAACGUCGGUGAAAGGACAGUUUCGGGUUCCCUAUCUGUUCUGGGGCGGUUGGGAGAUUUUGAGAGGGGGGCUGCUCCUAGGUACGAAGAGGACGCCGGGAAUGGACGGAACCUCUGGUGUUUCCGGUUUGUCCACGGGCCAGUGGCAAACUGCCCGGGUUAGCUAGUUCGGAAGCGAUAACGCCUUGAAACAUCUUCUAAGCGGGAACCGCGCCUCAAAAGAUGAGAUUCUCCCGGGGCAACAAGCCCCCUAAAGAAACAUCAAGACUAGGUGGUGAUAGGGCCAGGGUGGUGUAAGCGGCAGUAAUGCGUUGAGCUAACCUGUACUUUAAUGAUCGUGUGGCUUGACCAU